ACGCUCGACACCUACGAGGCAGCAGUGGGGAAUAUUGCACAAUGGGGGAAACCCUGAUGCAGCGACGCCGCAUGAGUGAAGAAGUAUUUCGGUAUGUAAAGCUCUAAUCAGCGAGGGAAAGAAAAUGACGGUACCUGAGUAAGAAGCCCCGGCUGACUACGUGUCAGCAGCCGCGGUAAUCUGAGGCGGGCUGGCAAGGC
rnacentral:rRNA from 1 species